AAGCGCGCGUAGGUGGUUUGUUAAGUUGGAUGUGAAAUCCCCGGGCCUCAACCUGGGAACUGCAUUCAAAACUGACUGACUAGAGUAUGGUAGAGGGUGGUGGAAUUUCCUGUGUAGCGGUGAAAUGCGUAGAUAUAGGAAGGAACACCAGUGGCGAAGGCGACCACCUGGACUGAUACUGACACUGAGGUGCGAAAGCGUGGGGAGCAAACAGGAUUAGAUACCCCAGU
rnacentral:rRNA from 1 species